rnacentral:rRNA from 1 species
GAUGAACGCUGGCGGCGUGCCUAAUACAUGCAAGUCGAGCGAACAGACGAGGAGCUUGCUCCUCUGACGUUAGCGGCGGACGGGUGAGUCACACGUGGAUAACCUACCUAUAAGACUGGGAUAACUUCGGGAAACCGGAGCUAAUACCGGAUAAUAUAUUGAACCGCAUGGUUCAAUAGUGAAAGACGGUUUUGCUGUCUCUUCUAGAUGGAUCCGCGCCGCAUUAGCUAGUUGGUAAGGUAACGGCUUACCAAGGCAACGAUGCGUAGCCGACCUGAGAGGGUGAUCGGCCACACUGGAACUGAGACACGGUCCAGACUCCUACGGGAGGCAGCAGUAGGGAAUCUUCCGCAAUGGGCGAAAGCCUGACGGAGCAACGCCGCGUGAGUGAUGAAGGUCUUCGGAUCGUAAAACUCUGUUAUUAGGGAAGAACAAAUGUGUAAGUAACUAUGCACGUCUUGACGGUACCUAAUCAGAAAGCCACGGCUAACUACGUG